UACGAAGGGGGCUAGCGUUGUUCGGAAUUACUGGGCGUAAAGCGCGUGUAGGCGGGUCCUUAAGUCAGGGGUGAAAUGCCGAGGCUCAACCUCGGAACUGCCUUUGAUACUGGGGAUCUUGAGUCCGGGAGAGGUGAGUGGAACUGCGAGUGUAGAGGUGAAAUUCGUAGAUAUUCGCAAGAACACCAGUGGCGAAGGCGGCUCACUGGCCCGGAACUGACGCUGAGACGCGAAAACGUGG
rnacentral:rRNA from 1 species